GCGGGUAUAGUACAGCGGUUAGUAUACAAGUUUUCCAAACUUGGGAUGAGUGUUCGAUUCACUCUACCCGCACCA
rnacentral:tRNA from 1 species